rnacentral:misc_RNA from 1 species
GAAAUGCGAUAAGUAAUGUGAAUUGCAGAAUUCAGUGAAUCAUCGAAUCUUUGAACGCACCUUGCGCUCCUUGGUAUUCCUUGGAGCAUGCCUGUUUGAGUAUCAUGAAAUCUUCAAAGUAAAUCUUUUGUUAACUCAAUUGGUUUCUACUUUGGUAUUGGAGGUCUUUGCAGCUUCACACCUGCUCCUCUUUGUUCAUUAGCUGGAUCUCAGUGUUAUGCUUGGUUCCACUCGGCGUGAUAAGUUAUCUAUCGCUGAGGACACUGUAAAAGGUGGCCAAGGUAAAUGCAGAUGAACCGCUUCUAAUAGUCCAUUGACUUGGACAAUACUUUUAUGAUCUGAUCUCAAAUCAGGUAGGACUACCCGCUGAACCUAAGC